rnacentral:rRNA from 1 species
UGGGGAAUAUUGCACAAUGGGCGCAAGCCUGAUGCAGCCAUGCCGCGUGUAUGAAGAAGGCCUUCGGGUUGUAAAGUACUUUCAGUGGGGAGGAAGGCGAUAAGGUUAAUAACCUUGUCGAUUGACGUUACCCGCAGAAGAAGCACCGGCUAACUCCGUGCCAGCAGCCGCGGUAAUACGGAGGGUGCAAGCGUUAAUCGGAAUUACUGGGCGUAAAGCGCACGCAGGCGGUCUGUCAAGUCGGAUGUGAAAUCCCCGGGCUCAACCUGGGAACUGCAUUCGAAACUGGCAGGCUAGAGUCUUGUAGAGGGGGGUAGAAUUCCAGGUGUAGCGGUGAAAUGCGUAGAGAUCUGGAGGAAUACCGGUGGCGAAGGCGGCCCCCUGGACAAAGACUGACGCUCAGGUGCGAUAGCGUGGGGAGCAAACA